rnacentral:rRNA from 1 species
GACAGAGGGGGCAAGCGUUGCUCGGAAUUAUUGGGCGUAAAGAGCGUGUAGGCGGCCAGGUAGGUCUGCUGUGAAAUCUCGAGGCUCAACUUCGAGCUGUCGGUGGAAACUGUCUGGCUAGAGUCCGGAAGAGGAGAAUGGAAUUCCUGGUGUAGCGGUGAAAUGCGCAGAUAUCAGGAAGAACACCCGUGGCGAAGGCGGUUCUCUGGGACGGUACUGACGCUGAGACGCGAAAGCGUGGGGAGCGAACAGG